GGGAGAUGGCUCAGUGGGUAAGAGCAUAUGCCUUGCAAGCUUGAGGACCUGAGUUCAAAUCCCCAGGACCCA
rnacentral:tRNA from 1 species